UGAUGCUCGUCCCACCCUGACGGUGCUGCCCCCCUCCACAGAGGAGCUGCAGCAGGGGAAGGCCACACUCAUGUGUCUGGCCAACAAGGGCUUCCCCUCAGACUGGAGUCUGUCCUGGAAGGUGGACGGCAGCAGCAGCAGCAGCUAUGAGGACAGCAGGAGCCCCGGGGUGCUGCAGAAGGACGGCCACUACAGCUGGAGCAGCACCCUGAGGCUCUCUGCAGACCAGUGGAGGAAGGUGGGCUCUGUGACCUGUGAGGCCACCCAGGGCUCCCAGACUCCACUCUCAGAGACACUGAGGAGAGACCAGUGUUCCCAGUACUGACCUGAUUUAGUGAGACGCUCAUACUGGUUUUCCCCUGUUACUUUCUAUUUUUUAAAUGAUUUUUUUCUUCUGUUUUUAAUAAAUCACUGAAGGAAUUCAUGUUUUCAAAUA